rnacentral:rRNA from 1 species
CGGAGGGUGCAAGCGUUGUCCGGAUUUAUUGGGUUUAAAGGGUGCGUAGGCGGCUUUAUAAGUCCGUGGUGAAAGCCAACAGCUCAACUGUUGAACUGCCAUGGAUACUGUAAGGCUUGAGUACAGACGAGGUAGGCGGAAUGGAUAGUGUAGCGGUGAAAUGCAUAGAUACUAUCCAGAACACCGAUUGCGUAGGCAGCUUACUAGGCUGUAACUGACGCUGAGGCACGAAAGCGUGGGAGCGAACAGGAUU